UGAGGAAUAUUGCGCAAUGGGGGAAACCCUGACGCAGCAACGCCGCGUGGGUGAAGAAGGCCUUCGGGUCGUAAAGCCCUUUCGGACGGGACGAACGCUCCGCGGGGAUAAUCCGCGGAGUCUGACGGUACCGUAGGAAGAAGCACCGGCUAACUCCGUGCCAGCAGCCGCGGUAAUACGGAGGGUGCAAGCGUUGUUCGGAAUUACUGGGCGUAAAGCGCGUGUAGGCGGCUUGGUAAGUCAGAUGUGAAAGCCCUCGGCUUAACCGGGGAAGUGCAUCUGAAACUGCCUGGCUUGAGUACGGGAGAGGGAGGCGGAAUUCCCAGUGUAGAGGUGAAAUUCGUAGAUAUUGGGAGGAACACCGGUGGCGAAAGCGGCCUCCUGGACCGAUACUGACGCUGAGACGCGAAAGCGUGGGGAGCAAACAGGAUUAGAUACCCUGGUAGUCCACGCUGUAAACGAUGGGCACUAGGUGUGGGGGGUAUCCACUCCUCCCGUGCCGCAGCUAACGCAUUAAGUGCCCCGCCUGGGGAGUACGGCCGCAAGGCUA
rnacentral:rRNA from 1 species